UACGGAAGGCAGCGGUGGGGAAUAUUGCACAAUGGGCGCAAGCCUGAUGCAGCCAUGCCGCGUGUAUGAAAAAGGCCUUCGGGUUGUAAAGUACUUUCAGUCGUGAGGAAGGUGUUAAGGUUAAUAACCUUAGCAAUUGACGUUAGCGGCAGAAGAAGCACCGGCUAACUCCGUGCCAGCAGCCGCGGUAAUACGGAGGGUGCGAGCGUUAAUCGGAAUUACUGGGCGUAAAGGGCACGCAGGCGGUUAAUUAAGUUGGAUGUGAAAUCCCCGGGCUUAACCUGGGAAUGGCAUUCAAGACUGGUUAGCUAGAGUCUUGUAGAGGGGGUAGAAUUCCAUGUGUAGCGGUGAAAUGCGUAGAGAUGUGGAGGAAUACCGGUGGCGAAGGCGGCCCCUGGACAAAGACUGACGCUCAUGUGCGAAAGCGUGGGGAGCAAACAGGGAUUUAGAUACC
rnacentral:rRNA from 1 species